AUCGCUUCUCGGCUUUCUUAAGCUAAGAUCAAAGUGUAGUAUCUGUUCUUAUCAGCUUGGUAUCUGAUAUGAUCCCUACAUGGGGUCAAUGAUAUUAGACUGAUUUUUUAAUUUUGGCGAAGUGCUAGGGGCUUGCUCCACCUUUGCCGCGGAUUGGCCCGGUAUUGCAUUACUUCUGGGAUCAGUCCAUUUUUA